UACGAAGGGGGCUAGCGUUGCUCGGAAUUACUGGGCGUAAAGCGCACGUAGGCGGCUUCUUAAGUCGGUGGUGAAAUCCUGGAGCUCAACUCCAGAACUGCCUUCGAUACUGGGAAGCUCGAGUCCGGGAGAGGUGAGUGGAACUGCGAGUGUAGAGGUGAAAUUCGUAGAUAUUCGCAAGAACACCAGUGGCGAAGGCGAUCAUCUGGGACUAACCUGACGCUGAGGAGCGAAAGCCAGGGGAGCAAACGGG
rnacentral:rRNA from 1 species